GGAUAGUCCUAAAUAGUUUUUCCCCUACCCUGACACGUCUGUCCCUAAAGGCUAAGGUGACAGUGAGCCCUGCCCCAGACUGCAUCCUAGAGCAGUGGUCUGACUCUGCACACUUCCUAGAGAGAAAGGCAAGUGGUUCAGACACCUACCGAGGCCCACCAGAGGCCCAGAG